GAGCGAUCAAGUGCCUUAAGGGCGUUCGGUGGAUGCCUUGGCGCUGAGAGGCGAUGAAGGACGUGCUACGCUGCGAUAAGCCGUGGGGAGCUGCGAAGAAGCUUUGAUCCGCGGAUUUCCGAAUGGGGAAACCCACCUUCGAUGCCAGUAAUCACAGCUCAGCUCCCGAUCCUCACGGAUCGGGGCGCUGGGUUGCGGCUACUGGCAUCAAAAGAAGGUAUGAGCCCCUGAAUAAAAUAGGGGGUUUCAAGCUAACCCGGGGAACUGAAACAUCUCAGUACCCGGAGGAAAGGACAUCAACCGAGACUCCGCUAGUAGUGGCGAGCGAACGCGGACCAGGCCAGUGGCGAAUGCGAGACAACCGGAACCUGUCAGGAAAGCAGGGCCCCAGAGGGUGACAGCCCCGUACGGGUAAUGCGAGCAUUCGUCCUCGAGUAAGGCGGGACACGUGAAAUCCUGUCUGAACAUGGGGGGACCACCCUCCAAGCCUAAGUACUCCUCAGCGACCGAUAGCGAACCAGUACCGUGAGGGAAAGGUGAAAAGCACCCCGACGAGGGGAGUGAAAUAGACCUGAAACCGAACGCCUACAAACAGUCGAAGCCCGCAAGGGUGACGGCGUACCUUUUGUAUAAUGGGCCAGCGACUUAGUCUGACGAGCGAGCUUAAACCGAUAGGUGUAGGCGCAGCGAAAGCGAGUCUGAACAGGGCGUUCAGUUCGUCGGAUUAGACCCGAAACCUAGUGAUCUAGCCAUGGUCAGGCUGAAGGUGGGGUAACACCCACUGGAGGGCCGAACCGGUGUCUGUUGAAAAAGCCUCGGAUGAACUGUGGCUAGGGGUGAAAGGCCAAUCAAACUGGGAAAUAGCUGGUUCUCCGCGAAAGCUAUUUAGGUAGCGCCUCGGACGAAUACCUCGGGGGGUAGAGCACUGGAUGGGCUAGGGGGACUUACCGUCUUACCAAACCCAACCAAACUCCGAAUACCCGAGAGUACUAUCCGGGAGACACACGGCGGGUGCUAACGUCCGUCGUGGAGAGGGAAAAAACCCUGACCAACAGCUAAGGCCCCCAAUUCGUGGCUAAGUGUGAAAGGAUGUGGAAAUCCCAAAACAACCAGGAGGUUGGCUUAGAAGCAGCCAUCCUUUAAAGAAAGCGUAACAGCUCACUGGUCUAAAUAAGGGUUUCUGCGCCGAAAAUGUAGCGGGGCUCAAGCCACGAGCCGAAGCUUUGGGUGUGCACUUUCGAGUGCACGCGGUAGCGGAGCGUUCCCUAAGCCUGCGAAGGUGGACCCGUGAGGGCCGCUGGAGGCAUGGGAAGUGCGAAUGCUGGCACGAGUAACGACAAACAGUGUGAAAGACACUGUCGCCGAAAGUCCAAGGGUUCCUGCGUAAAGUUAAUCUGCGCAGGGUUAGCCGGUCCCUAAGACGAGGCCGAAAGGCGUAGCCGAUGGGAACCACGUUAAUAUUCGUGGGCCAGUGGGUGGUGACGAAUUCCAAAAGUUGUCUGCGGUUACUGGAUUCCGUGGGCAGCGAAGGGGUUCCAGGAAAUAGCCCCCACAUAGACCGUACCCGAAACCGACACAGGUGGACUGGUAGAGCAUACCAAGGCGCUUGAGCGAACUAUGCUGAAGGAACUCGGCAAUCUGCCUCCGUAACUUCGGGAUAAGGAGGCCUCCACGUUGGGCAACCAGCGCGGAGGGGCACAGACCAGGGGGUGGCGACUGUUUAGCAAAAACACAGGGCUCUGCGAACUCGCAAGAGGACGUAUAGGGCCUGACGCCUGCCCGGUGCCGGAAGGUUAAGAGGAGGGGUGCAAGCCUCGAAUCGAAGCCCCGGUAAACGGCGGCCGUAACUAUAACGGUCCUAAGGUAGCGAAAUUCCUUGUCGGGUAAGUUCCGACCUGCACGAAUGGCGUAACGACUUCCCCGCUGUCUCCAGCAUAGGCUCAGUGAAACUGAAUUCCCCGUGAAGAUGCGGGGUCCCUGCGGUCAGACGGAAAGACCCCAUGAACCUUUACUGUAGCUUUGCACUGGCAUUCGUGACUGCAUGUGUAGGAUAGGUGGUAGACUUUGAAGCUCGGGCGCCAGCUCGGGUGGAGUCUCCCUUGAAAUACCACCCUUGUGGUUAUGGAUGUCUAACCGCGUCCCGUCAUCCGGGGCCGGGACAGUGCAUGGUGGGCAGUUUGACUGGGGCGGUCGCCUCCCAAAGAGUAACGGAGGCGCGCGAUGGUGGGCUCAGAGCGGUCGGAAAUCGCUCGUCGAGUGCAAUGGCAUAAGCCUGCCUGACUGCGAGACCUACAAGUCGAGCAGAGACGAAAGUCGGUCAUAGUGAUCCGGUGGUCCCGUGUGGAUGGGCCAUCGCUCAACGGAUAAAAGGUACUCUGGGGAUAACAGGCUGAUGACGCCCAAGAGUCCAUAUCGACGGCGUCGUUUGGCACCUCGAUGUCGGCUCAUCACAUCCUGGGGCUGGAGCAGGUCCCAAGGGUUCGGCUGUUCGCCGAUUAAAGUGGUACGUGAGCUGGGUUCAGAACGUCGUGAGACAGUUCGGUCCCUAUCUGCCGUGGGUGUCGGAGAUUUGAGAGGAUUUGUCCCUAGUACGAGAGGACCGGGAUGAACGUACCUCUGGUGGAGCUGUUGUGGCGCCAGCCGCAGUGCAGCGUAGCUACGUACGGACGGGAUAACCGCUGAAAGCAUCUAAGCGGGAAACCCACCUCAAAACGAGAUCUCCCUCGAGAGCCGUGGUAGACCACCACGUCGAUAGGCCGGAUGUGUAAGUGCAGCGAUGCAUUGAGCUUACCGGUACUAAUCGCUCGAUUGGCUUGAUCGCUCUCAUU
rnacentral:rRNA from 1 species